rnacentral:rRNA from 1 species
UACAGAGGCCUCAAGCGUUGUUCGGAAUUACUGGGCGUAAAGCGAAUGUAGGUGGUCAUGCAAGUCAGAUGUGAAAGCCCUGGGCUUAACCCGGGAAUUGCAUUUGAUACUGCGUUGCUCGAGUGCAGGAGAGGUAAGUGGAAUUCCUGGUGUAGGGGUGAAAUCCGUAGAUAUCAGGAGGAAUACCGAUGGCGAAGGCAACUUACUGGUCUGCAACUGACACUGAGAUUCGAAAGCAUGGGUAGCAAACAGG